AUUGAACGCUGGCGGCAGGCCUAACACAUGCAAGUCGAACGAGUGGCGGACGGGUGAGUAAUGUCUGGGAAACUGCCUGAUGGAGGGGGAUAACUACUGGAAACGGUAGCUAAUACCGCAUACCAUCGGAUGUGCCCAGAUGGGAUUAGCUAGUAGGGGGGGUAACGGCUCACCUAGGCGACGAUCCCUAGCUGGUCUGAAAGGAUGAACAGACACUCUGGAACUGAGACACGGUGCAGACUCGCACGGGGGGCAGCAGUGGGGAAUAUGGCACAAUGGGCGUGAGCCUGAUGCAGCAAUGCCGCGUGUAUGAAGAAGGCCUUCGGGUUGUAAAGUACUUUCAGCGGGGAGGCGUGACCCGCAGAAGAAGCACCGGCUAACUGCGUGCCAGCCGCCGCGGUAAUUC
rnacentral:rRNA from 1 species